UAUGCUAUGUUGUAUUAUAAUUCUAUUGCUAUGUUUGAUUUUUAUAAAACUGGACUCAUAAAUUAUGUUUUAUGUUGAAUUGGUAAUUUUAUUUUGAUUGAUAAUAUGCAUAAAAUUAUUUUAAUUAUUUAUUUUUUUGAGUAUUGGAUAGGCAUGAGAUGGGUAUGGAUUGGAUAUGGAGAAAUGGGUUACCCAUGAAU
rnacentral:lncRNA from 1 species